rnacentral:misc_RNA from 1 species
AACGCAAAUUGCGCUUCUUGGAUAGGCCAGGAAGCAUGCCUCUUUGAGUAUCGUUUUCACCCCAGCUCGACUGCUUAUUUGUGUAACAACGAAUAAGUUCUGUCGGAGAAUGAGUUUGUCUUGUCUGAAAAGAUAAGUCACUUUAAAUGCUGUGAGUUUGAUUGCCUACUUCAGUAGGAUUAGUGUAUGAACCUAAUCGCUGUCGUAAUGUGGAUAAAUUUUAUUUACAUUAUUAUGCAGUUUGAUUGGAUGUAUACUGGUAAUAAUCACUUAUAAACUCAGUGGAAAUUAAUCUAAUACUUUUAACGGUAUUAAUACCUUUUGAAUUAGAUCUCAAAUGAAGCAAGACUACCCGCUGAACUUAA